GGCUGCCAGGGUGGAGCGGCUGCUCCUGUCCUACCCUCGGCUGUUUCCCUUCCUCCGCAGGUGGUUGGUCCCUUUGCUGACAACCCCAGGGUGCUGUUUGGGGACUACGCACCCAUCCCGGACCCCCAGUACAUCUACACCCCCAGGAGAGGCCUGGAGACCCUGCCGGCCAACGUCAGCUUCGCCGCAGGCUGCAGUGAGCCCAGGUGCCAGCACUACUCACCGGGUGAGGUGGAGGGGGCGGUCUUGGCAGCCGACGUCGUCGUGGUGUGCCUGGGCACAGGGACUGACCUGGAGACAGAGGCGAAGGACCGACGGGACCUGUCCCUGCCCGGGCACCAGCAGGAGCUGCUGCAGGACGCCGUGGCCUGGGCCGGGGGGCGCCCUGUCAUCCUGCUGCUGUUCAACGCGGGGCCACUGGACGUGGGCUGGGCCCAGGCCCACCGCGGAGUAGGCGCCAUCCUGGCGUGCUUCUUCCCAGCACAGGCCGCGGGCAUCGCCAUCAUCAAAGUGCUGCUGGGGGAAGAGGGGGCCAGCCCGGCAGGCAGGCUCCCGGCCACCUGGCCAGCUGGCAUGGACCAGGUGCCAGCCAUGGAGAAUUACACCAUGGAGGGGCGCACGUACCGGUACUAUGGGCCAAGGGCCCCACUCUACCCCUUCGGCUACGGACUGUCCUAUACCACCUUCCUCUACCGGGACCUGGCCUUGAGCCCCACGGCGCUGCCCGUCUGCGCCAACCUCAGCGUCUCCGUGGUGGUGGAGAACACUGGGCAGAGGGAUGGUGAAGAGGUGGUGCAGCUGUACCUGCGUUGGGUGCAGCCCUCCGUGCCGGUGCCCCGCUGGCAGCUGGUUGGAUUCCGCCGGGUGCCCAUUGCCGCAGGCCGGGCAGUGAAGCUGCUGUUCCUGGUGACCUACGGGCAGCGCGCCGUCUGGGCUGAGCAGUGGCAGCUGGAGCCAGGCGCCUUCACGCUCUUUGUGGGCGGGCAGCAGCCAGGCCAGGAGACACGUGCCAGCUCCGAGGUCCUGCGGGCAGAAUUCACUGUGACUGGCACCACCCGACCCCUGAGCCACUGCUAGGGACAGGGACAGUUCCUGGGGCACUGGAAUGGGAACUGCGGGGGGCUAGGAUGGGGCCAUACGCAUUAGGAUUGGGAUCUGGCCCAGCACCCAGCUCGUUGUACCCGGAAGCAGGGUCACGUGACUGUCUCUAUCAGAGUUGGGAGGGCCGACCCGGCACUUGGCUGGCUGUAUUCAGGGGACCGGCCUGACACUUGGCUGGCUGUAUUCGGGGGACCGGCCUGGCACCUGGCUGGCUGUAUUCGGGGGGCCAUCCUGGCUAUACUGGGGACAAUGGGAGCUCAUUCAUUUGAUGCACAAUAAACUUUGCCCAGUGUUG
rnacentral:lncRNA from 1 species